UAAAUGACUCUCGGCAACGGAUAUCUCGGCUCUUGCAUCGAUGAAGAACGUAGCGAAAUGCGAUACUUGGUGUGAAUUGCAGAAUCCCGCGAACCAUCAAUUCUUUGAACGCAAGUUGCGCCCGAAGCCAUUCGGCCGAGGGCACGCCUGCCUGGGUGUCGUG
rnacentral:rRNA from 1 species